UCAUGCGCUCGAGGAUGAAGCGGCUUCUUGUUGAUUUCCCGGGGCUCUCUGGAGUGAAGCCGCCCGACCCUCAAGUCGGACAUUCGGACAACGAGAGAGGACAAUAGACCAAGCGGAGGGAACAUAAGCGUAUCUUUUCAACAGAGGCACAGCCGCUAAACCUGAUGUAGCGGUAGUAUUACCACUGAAAGGCAGUCGAGAGAAGAAACUGUCCUAUUUCGUAGGAGCACCGUGUUGGGACCGAGCCUCCGUCCGAGUCCACCCAGACAUGGUCCACUGUCAGCCCAGGCCGCCGAGGACUCUACUACCGCUGAUUUGAACCUGCCGAAAACCGUUUGGGAGUUGGGAAAAGAACGCUUCUGUGUAAUUGGAGAGUGAUACCGGCAGUCAUGCCCGAUCAAAUCACCGUGUCAGAGUUUGUGGUGGAGACCAACGAGGACUACAAGUCACCCACCGCCUCCAACUUUACCACCAGGAUGUCCCACUGCAGGAACACCGUGGCUGCCCUCGAGGAGGCUUUAGAUGUGGACCGCAGCGUUCUAUACAAGAUGAAAAAAUCAGUGAAGGCCAUCUACACGUCUGGUUUGGCUCAUGUGGAGAAUGAGGAGCUGUACACACAAGCAUUGGAGAAGUUUGGAGAAAACUGUGUGUACAGAGAUGAUCCAGAUUUGGGUUCGGCUUUCCUGAAGUUCUCUGUCUUCACCAAGGAGCUGACGGCGCUCUUCAAAAACCUUUUCCAAAACAUGAACAACAUCAUCACCUUCCCUUUGGACAGCCUGCUGAAAGGAGAUCUGAAAGGAGUCAAAGGGGAUCUAAAAAAACCUUUUGACAAAGCCUGGAAGGACUACGAAACAAAAGUCUGCAAAGGACAUUCUUUACUGAAAGGCACGAAAAUAGAAAAGGAGAAAAAGGAGCACGCCAGACAGCACGGGAUGAUCAGGACGGAGAUUAGCGGGGCGGAAAUUGCUGAGGAGAUGGAGAAGGAAAGGAGAUUCUUUCAGCUUCAGAUGUGUGAGUAUCUCCUCAAAGUCAACGAGAUCAAAAUCAAGAAGGGAGUAGACCUGUUGCAGAACCUCAUCAAAUACUUCCAUGCGCAGUGCAAUUUCUUUCAGGAUGGUCUCAAAGCAGUGGACAACCUGAAGCCUUCCAUAGAAAAACUGGCCACAGAUCUCCACACAAUAAAGCAGGCGCAGGAUGAGGAGCGGAAGCAGCUGACACAGUUACGAGAUGUUCUUAAGACAGCGCUACAAGUGGAGCAGAAAGAGGAUUCACAGGUGCGUCAGAGCAAUACCUACAGCCUACAUCAGCCGCAAGGCAACAAGGAACACGGCACUGAGCGCAGCGGCUACCUUUACAAGAGAAGCGACGGGUUGCGUAAAGUGUGGCAGAAGAGAAAGUGUACGGCAAAGAACGGAUACCUCACCAUCCCACAUGGCACUGCAAACAGGCCUCCAGCCAAACUGAACCUGCUCACUUGUCAGGUGAAGAACAAUCCUGAGGAGAAGAAGAGCUUUGACCUCAUUUCGCAUGACAGAACAUAUCACUUUCAGGCUGAGGAUGACCAGGACUGCCAAAUCUGGAUCUCCGUGCUCCAGAACAGCAAAGAAGAGGCGCUGAACCAAGCCUUCAAAGGGGACCAGCACGUCGGCGAGAACAACAUCGUGCAGGAGCUGACCAAGGCCAUCCUGGCCGAGGUGAAGAGGAUGACGGGAAACGACGUAUGCUGCGAUUGCGGCGCGCCCAACCCAACAUGGUUGUCCACCAACUUGGGCAUCCUCACUUGUAUUGAAUGCUCAGGGAUCCAUAGGGAGCUGGGAGUCCACUACUCCAGGAUCCAGUCGCUCACUCUGGAUGUACUCAGCACCUCAGAGCUCUUGCUGGCCAAGAAUGUGGGGAAUGCAGGCUUCAAUGAAAUAAUGGAGGCUUGCUUAAGUGCUGAAAACACGAUGAAACCCAACCCCUCCAGUGACAUGCAGGCGAGGAAAGACUUCAUCAUCGCUAAGUACACAGAGAAGCGCUUCGCCAGGAAGAAAUAUCCAGACUCGGUGUCGCGGCUCCACACACUGUGCGAAGCAGUAAAGGCUCGGAACAUCGUCUCACUCAUCCAGGUCUACGCCGAGGGAGUAGACCUUAUGGAGCCCAUACCGCUUGCCAACGGACAUGAGCAGGGAGAAACGGCGCUUCAUCUUGCGGUCAGGCUGGUGGACAGAACGUCGCUCCACAUUGUCGACUUCCUCACUCAGAACAGUUUAAAUUUGGAUAAGCAAACGACCAAAGGGAGCACGGCGCUGCACUACUGCUGUCUGACUGACAACAGUGAGUGCCUGAAGCUGCUGCUGAGGGGGAAGGCAUCCAUAGACAUUGCUAACGAGACCGGGGAAACGCCGCUGGACAUCGCCCGCAGGCUCAAACACCUCCAGUGUGAGGAGCUGUUGAAUCAGGCGCUGGCAGGGAAAUUCAACGCACACGUUCAUGUGGAGUAUGAAUGGUGCCUGCAGCAUGAAGACUUGGAUGAGAGUGAUGAGGAUCUGGAUGAAAAGCCCAGUCCUCACCGUAGGGACGAGCGUCCGGUCAGUUGUUACACACCCAGCACCAACUCCCACCUGCAGACCCGGGACAACGCCGGUCUGGCCAAGGACAAGCAGCGGUCCUACCUGCCUAAUCUGGUCAACAACGAGACCUACGGCACUGUCAUCAACAACAACCCGCCUCAACAACCCGGUCUGCCCGCAACCACCGCCGGACCACCGCUUCCCCCGAGAAACAUUGUCCAACCAACCGUCCUUGGUGGGACGCCUCAAUCCUCAUCUUCCAACAGCUGGAAGCCCGGUUCUUUAGACCUGAUUGGACGUCAGAGAUCGUCUUCAGACCCCCCCAACAUGCACCCUCCUGCUCCCCCUUUCCGGCUCACCUCGGCAGGAGGGAAGAGUGACGGAAUGAGCUCACAAAACAAGUCGGGUCAAGGACCUGCAGGAUCCAGCAGAGCCAAUCAGUCCAAGUCCCCUGCAGGCAAUGGCAAAGGCUUCACCCGAGGACCCCUAAAUCGGACGGAAUCGAUUGAGCGACCAACUAAGGCAGUGCCAGGAUGUCCCCAGAACUCUGUAGGCCAGUCUUUUCCUUCAGCACCCCACUCCAGAAAGGCCUACCCAAAGCACAGGCCAAAGCGAGUGAAAGCCAUCUACAACUGUGUGGCAGACAACCCCGACGAAUUGACCUUCUCUGAGGGCGAGGUCAUUGUGGUCGACGGUGAGGAGGACCAAGAGUGGUGGGUGUAGCUGAUGUUAAAAAUGACUAAAGGGAGCUUUUCACUCUUGUCCUCACUGUCAAGCUGGGCCACAUCGAGGGAGACCCGACAAGACGCGGAGCCUUCCCGGUCACCUUUGUACAGUACGCUGCAGACUGAACGCUCAGGUGGUCGCCCUUUAUCUCAAUCUGAGCAUCUCUUCCCCUUAAUGUGUGUGCUGUUUAUUAGGAUUGUUGUGAGAAAGAAAAGCACGAUCGUUUCCAACCACCUUUCACAAUAAAUGCACUUUCCUCACUGCUCCGUCACACACGAUGAAGAUUGUCCAGGACUCACUUUCCCCUCCUCUUCCUCCUCCUUUUUCUUUCAACCUGAACUGUGAAUGAGCAUGAGCUUACUCCGCUGAUUAAUAACAAGCACCAACACGACUCUUCUUCUCUGCUUUUUAAUUAGGGUUUAUAUGAUGUAUGUGUGCUAAAUAUGUCUUAUAGCCUCAUUAUGUGUGCCUCCCUUAAGAUGAAUGUGUACAAGUAUGCAGUUUGAUGCAAAACGACUCAUUGUCUGGGCAAAUGUUCAGUUGAAGUGCAUUUAUAGCCAGUGAAAAUGUAUCUUUUAGCUGACAAUGACACGGGGACUUUUAAUUACUCAUGUUUAAGUUGUAAGUAAAAUAAUUUAGAUACUUAAGAUCAGUGUUUCCCAAAUGAAACAUUUUUGUACUUCACUGGGAAAAAAAUCCUACAAUGCUGUAUAUGUGUAUAAAUACUACAGAAUAUGACAGGCAUUUAAAUACAUUGUAUGAUUGCUUGAUUAUAAAAUUGCUUUUAAGUAAUUUAACUAAACCCCCCCCAAAAACAAAAAUUAAAAAUACUUCUAAAUUUGGCCAAUAUUACAAAAAAUAUACAAUACUUUUUUAAAAAUUUAGAUUAACCAUUUGUUUUAUUUUCAAAAAUCACACAUGUUAAUCCAUCUGAUCAAAGAAAAUAGAACAACUCCAACUCAAUCCCAGAUGUGCAAUAUUUAUGAUAUAAUUGUACAGAGCAAGCGAGAAUACUAUAUUAAAAAAAAAAUAUAUAUAUAUAAUAUUAGCAAAAACAGCAUUGAUAACCAUAAUAUUAAGAAUAACAUCAUUAAUAGUAAUUAAAAGCAAUUAACUCAAUUACUUACAAUAUGUCUAUCUGUGUUAGUCCUGCGAUGAGGUGGCGACUUGUCCAGGGUGUACACCGCCUUCCGCCCGAUUGUAGCUGAGAUAGGCACCAGCGACCCCUAAGGGAAUAAGCGGUAGAAGAUGGAUGGAUGUAUAACUUGUAUCAUCACUUAUCAUUUCCAUCACAAAAUAUAUUUACUUUUUUUACCCUCUCCCCUCCCCCCAUAGGAUCAAGGACUAAAAAAAGAUAAUAUAUUUACUCAUUUGAAUGUGAGUGUGAAUGUUGUCCAUCCAUCUGUGUCGGCCCUGCGAUGAGGUGGCGACUUGUCCAGGGUGUACCCGGCCUUCCGCCCGAUUGUAGCUGAGAUAGGCACCAGCGCCCACACGUGACCCCAAGAGGAAUAAGCGGUAGGAAAUGGAUGGAUUUUAUUUUUAUUUUUGGUCAUUUUCAGCUAUAAAAUACACAUUCAACAGCCAGAAAGGAACUUUAAAAAUUGCUGUCUUGUCCACCUUAAAAAAAAUGGUAGGAUGUUAGGUGCGUGUUUUGAAAUAAGCAUUUUAAUGUAACGUAGUUGGAUGUUGUGUUGCAGAGCAACUUAAUACAAAGUGAAUAUUUACUGUGGGCAUUGAACGUCACACCAUGAGAGUCUUUGUGAGAGUUGCAGCUGAUGCUUUAAUGGUGUUUUGUUAUGAACUCACUGGAAAUGGGAAGAUUGAGCAUUUACAUGUGUACAUAGAUGGAUAUAAGUAUGUGUGUGUUGAUAUUUAAAUGUAGACAAGAGAGCACUGUGGUGUAGCGGGAAACACUUUGUACAGAAUAUGUGUGAAAUAACAUCACUUGUCUUUAUUUGUUGUUGGAUCUCUUUAAGUGGGAAAUGAAACUGGAAUAAAAUGAUAUAAAACAUC